UGAAGCGACUCAAGAUUCUUCACUCACGUUGGGGUGAUUGUCCAUCCCUUCAUACUAUAAAACUGUGAAUGGCUCAUUAAAUCAGUUAUAGUUUGUUUAAUUGUAUGUGCUACUUGGAUAAUCAUAGUAAUUCUAGAGCUAAUACGAGAACCAAAUCCCAACUUAUGGAAGGGAUGAAUUUAUUUAUUAAAAGGUCGAUGCUGGCUCAUGCCAGCUGCCAUGAUGACUCAUGAUAACUUGUUGGAUUGCAUAGCCCUUGUGCCAGUGAUGCAUCAUUCAAAUAUCUGCCCUAUCAAUUUUUGAUGGUAGGAUAGGGGCCGACCGUGGUGGUGACGGGUGAUAAAGAAUUCGGGUUCGAUUCUAGAGAUGGAGCCUGAGAGAUGGCUACCAAAUCCAAGGAAGGCAGCAGGCGUGCAAAUUACCAAAUCCUGGUAUGGGAGGUAGUGACAAUAAAUAACAUUAUCGGACUCUUCGAGUAUGAUAAUUGUAAUGAGUACAAUCUAAACCCCUUAAUGAGGAUCCAUUGGAGGGCAAGUCUGGCGCCAGCAGCCGCAGUAAUUUUAGCUCCUAUAUUUAAGUUGUAGCAGUUAAAAAGUUCGUAGUUGGACCUUGGGAUGGGAUGGUCGGUCCACCUCAUGGUGUGCAUCACCCACCGCAUCCCUUAUGUCGGCAAUGUGUUUCUGGACUUAAUUGGCUAGAUCGUUCCUCCAACAUUGUUACUUUGAAGAAAUUAGAGUGCUCAAAGUAAGCCCACACUCUGGAUACAUUAGCAUGGAAUAACACCAUAGGAUUUUGGUCAUAUUCUGUUGGCCUUCGGGAUCGAAGUAAUGAUUAAGAAGGAUGGUUGAAGGCAUUGUAUUUCAUAGUCAGAGGUGAAAUUCUUAGAUUUAUGAAAGACGAACCACUGCGAAAGCAUUUGCCAAUGAUAUUUUUAUUAAUCAAGAAUGAAAGAUGGGGCAUCAAAGACGAUCAGAUACUGUCCUAGUCUCAACCAUAAAUGAUGCCGGCUAGGGAUCAACAAAUAUUGCCUUUUAAUACUCUGCUGGCACCUUGUGAGAAAUCAAAGUCUUUGGGUUCUAUGAAGGAACGGCCAUAGCCUAGCAUAUAUAUAUAUAUAUAUAUAUAUAUAUAUAUAUAUAUAUAUAAUUAAAAGUACAAACUCAAUCAAGAUCAAGCUCCACGGUGUCCUAAGCUUGGAGGUCAAGUAACCUCCCGGGGAGCACAUCUCCCUAACAAAAGAAAAAUUGCCCAAACGGGCAUAUAUAGCACAAAAGUCAGCCACCCGGUUUGCGCCGUGCAAUAGGUGGGCAAAGAUAAUAUGAGGUACAUCAAGCAAAAAGGAUAGGUGAUCAGUGUGUCUCUCUCAGCCUCAUGGAUGGAGGGUCCUUUUUCAAAAUCUCCUGAGUUACUGGAUAUCUCCAAGACAGUCACUCUCAAUGAGGGCUUGAGGCAAUAGAGUGAUUUUCAGUAUCUCAGCUUGUAGCGGUGAACCUACCUGCAAGCUCGCACCAACAGCAACAAGAAACUCUCUUAUCGGACCUCGGACUACUGUAGCUCCAAAAGCAGUCGACUCUCCAUAGUUGUACACUGCGUCAAUGUUGGAUUUCAGCCAACAGGGCUCAAAUGGGCCGUGGAACCCAGCAGUCGCACCUAUCAUGCAAAAUAACACUAAUCAAGGUGGAAAGAAUUGAGCAUACGUAAACUAGCUGCAUUGGAUGGGUUUGCCCGUGUAUGAACUCCAUCCUGCUCCACCAUGCUUGGUACAAGGAG
rnacentral:rRNA from 1 species